CGAGACCCAAACUUGGAAAUCCCGUCUGGCCCGCCUCCGACUCGGCGCCAGCAGCCGAAGCGUCGAAUCCUUGGCGGAAGUGAGGAGGAAGACGGUGGUUCGGCGCGGUGCGGCGGCGCCGCGGCGGGCGCACGCAUGAAGGGUGUAUGCUUCAGGGUAUAAGCCAUGGCGGAGCCAUCACUGUUCGGUGCGGCCAAAGGAGGCGGCGAACCGGCUCUCUGAUGUUAGUGUGCCUUUCUCCAGCUCUUCCUCUUCUCAUCUACUCCGUAUACUAUUAGGAUGUGCUGUACGUCCCUGACAUUUUGCUUAUGGAGUAGGGAGUACAAGAUACGGUUUAUUGUUAAAUUCAGUGGAUAUCCAUUGUUCAGUAUAUAUACGACCUUAGGUUAAAUUCAGUUAAG
rnacentral:lncRNA from 1 species